rnacentral:sRNA from 1 species
GAAUGAGAGCAAGUAGUGGCUGUGAUAGCUAUUAAUCCACUGACCAGCAAGGUUGUUUCAGUUGAUCUAGCCGAGAAGGCAAAUGUUCUGUUUCUCCUGCACCCUCCCAAAGCUGCAUGCUCUGUGGAAAAUAAUGUCCAGCCUAGAUUGGAGUGUACCAUUCUUUGGCAAGGAUAUAUAGAAGCUGCACUCCCAUGCUACGACUUCAAAUGAACAUUCCUUGCUAAUAUUUGAUAUCAGUUCCUAUCUCUCUAUUGCUACUUUUAUUGACGUCCAACAAA